GAUUGAACGCUGGCGGCAUGCCUUACACAUGCAAGUCGAACGGCAGCGGGCCCUUCGGGGUGCCGGCGAGUGGCGAACGGGUGAGUAAUGCAUCGGAACGUACCCGGGAGAGGGGGAUAACCGGCCGAAAGGCUGGCUAAUACCGCAUGAACUCGGAAGAGCAAAGCGGGGGACCUUCGGGCCUCGCGCUCUCGGAGCGGCCGAUGUCCGAUUAGGCUAGUUGGUGGGGUAAAGGCCCACCAAGGCGACGAUCGGUAGCGGGUCUGAGAGGACGAUCCGCCACACUGGGACUGAGACACGGCCCAGACUCCUACGGGAGGCAGCAGUGGGGAAUCUUGGACAAUGGGCGCAAGCCUGAUCCAGCAAUGCCGCGUGGGUGAAGAAGGCCUUCGGGUUGUAAAGCCCUUUCGGCGGGGAAGAAAUCGGUCAGGCGAAUAGUCUGGCCGGAUGACGGUACCCGCAGAAGAAGCACCGGCUAACUACGUG
rnacentral:rRNA from 1 species